ACGGAGGAUGCGAGCGUUAUCCGGAUUCAUUGGGUUUAAAGGGUACGUAGGUGGCCCGGUAAGUCAGUGGUGAAAACCUGCCGCUUAACGGUAGGCGUGCCAUUGAUACUGUCGGGCUUGAGUGCAGUUGAGGCAGGCGGAAUGUGUAGUGUAGCGGUGAAAUGCAUAGAUAUUACACAGAACUCCGAUUGCGAAGGCAGCUUGCUAAAGUGCAACUGACGCUGAUGUUCGAAAGCGUGUGUAGCGAACAG
rnacentral:rRNA from 1 species